GCAGUGAAGGUACUCGGGAGAAGGAGAGCAGGAAGUAUAUACAAGUCCUCCUGGUGUGGCCAAGCCCAGCUUAAGGAACACGAACUAAGAGAGAAGCGCCUGGGACCACAGCAUUCCCUACUAGGUGCACUCAAAGGACUUCACCCGUCUCUUCAACCAGGUUACUCAAAGAGCUCUCAUGUCCCUUCCUUGGGUCCUUGAAAGCUGCAGUAAGUUCACUAAUCACAUGGACCCCGAUGGAUUCAGAAUAAUUGUCAUUACUCUAUUGGAGGUCUCUUUCUCUCUUCCUCAUGGAAGAGAAAAUUAUAUUAUUAUAUUCUACAUAUAAUACAUACUUAUGGGUGGGAUAUUACCUACUGUCAUGGGUAGUAUUACAUACACAAUAUAAAUGACUUUACUCCAGACAAUUUUGAAGACGCUUGGAGGUGCUCUCUACAACAGAAGGUGUGUAAGUGGGAGACUCAUGUCUGUCUCAUGGGAAGUCACCACCCCAGAGCUCACUCAAUCUUUUAGGUGCUGUUCUAAGUCACCUGCAUUCUCUCCAUCCAAUCACGUCUUCUGGUUGGGAAUCUGACCUCCCUAUUGGCUACCUCAGCUCUUUCAACUGCCCCCUAUGUGAUGUCAUCCAACUGCCAACUUACCAUUGGCUGGGGAAAUGUUUUGAAUCGUGGAGUAGUCUGAAGGAACGUCUGGGUCGUGGUUAAGUGGAUGGUGUGACCAGUGCUCUUCCCACUGAAUACUUGUUCACUUCGGCUUCAGCCACCCAGAUAUCCAUCCUUCAUUACCCUCUCGUCCUUUGUAUCUCCAAUUGCUGUUACCCCUUCUCUGACCAUGUCAGAAAAUUUCCAAAUCCCACCAUCCAUAGGAACCUCCUGUCCUCUGGAGCUAUCACCUUUCAUCAUGAGCAUGGCUGCUCCCUUAACAUCAAGUGGUCCAGCCCUCACUUCAGCAUGGCUGCUGCCCUCAGCUUCUGUCAACUACUUCCAGCCAGUCAUAGCCAGUUCCUACACUUAUCAACACUGUAGUGAAACUGCCAGCCUGAUUCAGCCAACACCGUCACUAUACAUUCCGAACCAAGGACAGGGUUACCACUACUUAAUCAAAGUGCAAUGGGGUCUCUGGUAUCUGCAGAGCUUGGAGGACUGCAGCCAUAUGAGUUUCUGUCACACACAGGCAGUGGGGCUGCUGCCCCUCAGCCAGAGAUAGUAAUGGUGUUCAAGGAGAUUCGGCAUACAAAUGUUGUAACAUCAGAUUCUCCUGCCAUCUGCUAUUCUGGAUCUGUGCAAGCCAACAUGAAAAUGUGUUUCCAAGGUGGGUACUGAGAGCAGAAGCAAAAGGGAUCAGGGUACUACUGUGCAGAAGGCAUGAAUCGCAAAAAAAAAAAAAAGAAGGGAUGAAUCUCCUGCUGAGUACAGGUAAGCAUAGAGAUAGGCAGAAUUUCAGGCCUGAGAUGGGCUCUGCUUCCAGACUCUGUAAGUAGGGAAUGAAGGACACCAUAGAGGCCAUCCCUGCUGCUCAAGAGCAGCCCAGGAGGCCACUGAAGCAGGCCACACUUCUCAGGGCUCUUGCAGAUGAGUUCCCCUUUAGCAGCCCUCCAUAAACAAUUCCCUUUGGUCUUCUACUGCUGUGGUGCCUUUUGAAGACACUUCCAAGUUUAUGGUGGUGAGGACAGUUUCAUUUCCCUCAUUUUCAGCAAGAUGGAAUACCUUAUAUUUCAGAGAUCCUGUCCAAAGCUUGUGCCUCAGUACCUGUCCUGCUCACAUUUUGCAUAAGUAAGACCUUAUCUCUCCUAGUCCAAGGCAAGAA
rnacentral:lncRNA from 1 species